CCUACGGGAGGCUGCAGUGAGGAAUAUUGGUCAAUGGGCGGGAGCCUGAACCAGCCAAGCCGCGUGAGGGAAGAAGGUACAGCGUAUCGUAAACCUCUUUUGUCAGGGAACAAAGGCGGGGACUAGUCCCCGGAUGAGGGUACCUGACGAAAAAGCAUCGGCUAACUCCGUGCCAGCAGCCGCGGUAAUACGGAGGAUGCGGGCGUUAUCCGGAUUUAUUGGGUUUAAAGGGGGCGCAGGCGGCCUGUUAAGUCAGCGGUAAAAGCCCGGGGCUCAACCCCGACGAGCAGUUGAAACUGGCGGGCUGGAGUGGGAGAGAGGAAAGCGGAAUGCGAGGUGUAGCGGUGAAAUGCUUAGAGAGCGGGAAGAACCCCGAUGGCGAAGGCAGCGUACCGGCUCCACACUGACGCUGAGGCGCGAAAGCGUGGGGAUCGAACAGGAUUAGAUACCCUAGUAGUC
rnacentral:rRNA from 1 species